UCUUUGUUAGCUCAGCAGGUAGAGCAUUUGACUGUUAAUCAAAGGGUCAGUGGUUCGAUCCCACUACAAAGAG
rnacentral:tRNA from 2 species